AGAUACCCCAAUAUGCCUAGCCGUAAAAAAUCUAAUUACACUUAAACCGCCAGGGGAACUACGAGCUUUAGCUUAAAACCCAAAGGACUUGACGGUGUCCCACCCAACUAGAGGAGCCUGUCCUAUAAUCGAUAAUCCACGUUUUACCUAACCCUUUUUUGCUUUAUCAGCCUGUACACCUCCGUCGUAAGCCUACCAUAUGAAUGAAAAAUAGUAGACUCAAGGAUUUUUUAUCACAAUGACAGGUCAAGGUGCAGCUUACAAAAUGGUAGAGAUGAGCUACAAUUUCUAAAUUAGAACAAACGAAAUACUGCAUGAAACACAGUCAUGAAGGUGGAUUUAGCAGUAAGUGCGGAAUAGAGAGCCCCACUUAAAUCGGCCCUGGGACGUGUACAAACCGCCCGUCGCCCUCUUCAAUAGCCCCCUAAACUAGUUUAUAACAUAACAAUGCGUUUUAGAAGAGGUAAGUCGUAACAUGGUAAGUAUACUGGAAAGUGUACUUGGAACAACAAAAUGUAGCUUAAACAAAGCAUCUCGCUUACACCGAGAAUAUAUCCGUGCAACCCAGAUCAUUUUGAGCCCAAAAUUAAGCCUACUCACAAUUUAAAAAAACUACCAACCAUAAAAAACUUAGUAAAACAUUUAUAUUUUCUAGUAAAGGUGAUUGAAAAUAAUAUUAGAGCUAUAAAGUACCGCAAGGGAAAAAUGAAAUAAAAUGAAAAACCUAAAGCCAACUAUAUCAGAGAUUACAACUCGUACCUUUUGCAUCAUGGUCUAACUAGUCUAACCAAGCAAGAUGAAAUUUUAGCAUGCAUUCCCGAAACUAAGCGAGCUACUUCAGAACAACCAAAAGAGCCAACCCGUCUCUGUAGCAAUAGAGUGGGACGAUUCUCAAGUAGAAGUGAAAAGCCUAUCGAGCUUAGAGAUAGCUGGUUACUCAAGAAAAGAAUAUUAGUUCACCCUUAAACACCACCCUAUGAUAAAAGCAACACCAAAAAAUUUAAGUGUUAUUCAAUUAAGGCACAGCUUAUUUGAAAAAGGAUACAACCUAAAUAAACGGGUAAAUUACCCAAAAACUAGAUAGUAGGCCUGAAAGCAGCCACCUACUUAAAAGCGUNAAAGCUUUAUAUUUCUCAUACAAAAUUCUUNUACUANACAUGACCCCAUAUUAAUUAUUGAAUGACCCCAUAAAAAUAUGGACUCCACUAUGUUAGAACUAGUANCUAGAAUUUAUAAUUCUCCAAAAUGUAAGCAUAAACCAACAUGAAUAGCCCACUGGUAAUUAACGAAAAUGAAUAAAAUACAGUAACCGCCCACGAAAAACAUGUAAUAUCAACCGUCAAUCUUACACCAGAACAUUAAUGGAAAGAUUAAAAGAGGAAGAAGGAACUCGGCAAACCACGGCCCCGCCUGUUUACCAAAAACAUCGCCUCUUGCUUAAUAUAAGAGGUCCAGCCUGCCCAGUGAAAAUUUAACGGCCGCGGUACCCUGACCGCGCGAAGGUAGCAUAAUCACUCGUUCUUUAAAUAGGGACUUGUAUCAAUGGCAUCACGAGGGUCGCACUGUCUCCUCCCCCUGAUCAGUGAACCUGAUCUCUCCGUGAAGAAGCGGGGAUGAAAAUAUAAGACGAGAAGACCCCAUGGAGCUUUAAACCCAAAGCAAUCUAAUCAAAUAAAUCCUCAUAUAAUUUAAGUAUGCAUAACGGCUUUAGGUUGGGGUGACCGCGGGGCAAAAACAAACCCCCACAACGAAAAGAAAUAAACCUUUAUUUAAGAGUUACUACUCUAAGAAUUAGCACACUAACGAACAAUGACCCGAUAAUCGAUCAAUGGACCAAGUUACCCUGGGGAUAACAGCGCAAUCUACUUCAAGAGCUCAUAUCGACAAGUAGGCUUACGACCUCGAUGUUGGAUCAGGGUAUCCCAGUGGUGCAACCGCUACUAAUGGUUCGU
rnacentral:misc_RNA from 1 species